rfam:Gorilla gorilla gorilla genomic chromosome, chr11, whole genome shotgun sequence
GCCAGGCAUGGUGGCGUGUGCCUGUAAUUCCAGCUACUCAGGAGGCUGAGGCAGGAGAAUCACUUGAACCCGGGAGGCAGAGGUUGCAGUGAGCUGAGAUUGUGCCGCUGCAUUCCAGCCUGGGUGACAGAGUGAGACUCUGUCUUAA